rnacentral:rRNA from 1 species
UACAGAGGGCUCAAGCGUUGUUCGGAUUUAUUGGGCGUAAAGGGUGCGUAGGUGGCGCCAUAAGUCAGGUGUGAAAUCUCGGGGCUCAACUCCGAAACUGCACUUGAUACUGUGGUGCUCGAGUACUGGAGAGGUGAUUGGAAUUUACGGUGUAGCAGUGAAAUGCGUAGAUAUGCGGAGGAACACCGAUGGCGAAGGCAGCCCCCUGGGCCUGCACUGACGCUCAUGCACGAAAGCGUGGGGAGCAAACAGG